rnacentral:lncRNA from 1 species
CCUUCUUUGAACACUCUCUAGAGCCCUAUGUGCAGAUCUUAGUUCGAAAGCAUGUUUGGUAAGAUAAAACCUUGAGAACUUGGAAGCAUAAUGAGGACUGGCACUAAUCUUAAUCAAGAAAUGUUUCAGGUUUCAUCAGCGUUCUUUCUCUGAAAUGUUUAUGUUUCAUGUUAUGGCCAUGCACAAUAGAUUUCUGAGUUGCUUCCAGGAUUCGAUACUGAUAAUGUGAGAAUGAACAGUGCAAAACCUUUAUGUUAUCUUUGAAAGAAUUUGCAUUGAAACAAAUUUCAUGUUGUGACUGCAGGAAUAUCAUUUCUGGGUGGAAACUUGUGUGCUUUAAAUAAAAGCACCCUCAGGAUCACAUUUAGAGUUCCCUUGCAGAAAAUGCUAUGCUGAUGUCUGGCCCAAGAGUGCAUCAGGUUUGAGUUAAUGGUGCAGUUCCUCUUGGAAACUGUAAAGUGCCCUGCCAGCUGUAUCAGAAGUAAAUGAAUCAUUUUGUUCGCAACGAAACAAGAAAAUAUAUGUUCUUUUGCAGAGAGGAGGAUGUUUGUUCUUGAUGCCAUGUUCAUUUAGUAUCAAUUUUGUUUGAAUCAAGAAGCUUAACCAAGGCAACUAAAUGAUUUAGCAGGACAUAUCUGUUAGUUUCAGUCACCUCCUGCAGCGGGUAAAACUUUCAGAUGGCAGUGGUUCUUUCUUUCUUUCUUUCUUUUCUUUUUGUAAUUCAGAACUAAUGGAACUCAAAUCUUCCAUGUUCAGUACUCUCCAACUAUUACAGUGCUUUCAAGCGAGGCUA